GCACCUGUAGCUCAGUGGACAGAGCGCCAGGCUUCUACCCUGGGACGUCGAGGGUUCGACUCCUUCCAGGUGCUCCA
rnacentral:tRNA from 2 species